rnacentral:rRNA from 1 species
UUGGAGGGCAAGUCUGGUGCCAGCAGCCGCGGUAAUUCCAGCUCCAAUAGCGUAUAUUAAAGUUGUUGCAGUUAAAAAGCUCGUAGUUGAACUUCGGGAUUUACCCAUUGGUCAGGCUUAAUUGUCUGUACUGGUGAGAUGAAUCUCUACCUUCUGAGGAACUUUCAUGCCAUUUAUUUGGUGUGAUGGGAAAUCAGGACUGUUACUUUGAAAAAAUUAGAGUGUUUAGAGCAGGCUAACGUCUGAAUACAUUAGCAUGGAAUAAUGAAAUAGGACGGACUGAUUCUAUUUCGUUGGUUUCUAGGAUCACCGUAAUGAUUAAUAGGGAUAGUUGGGGGCAUUAGUAUUCAAUUGUCAGAGGUGAAAUUCUUGGAUUUAUUGAAGACUAACUACUGCGAAAGCAUUUGCCAAGGAUGUUUUCAUUAAUCAAGAACGAAAGUUAGGGGAUCGAAGACGAUCAGAUACCGUCGUAGUCUUAACCAUAAACUAUGCCGACUAGGGAUCGGACGAAGUUAAUUUUAUAAUGACGCGUUCGGCGCCUUACGGGAAAC